GACGAACGCUGGCGGCGUGCUUAACACAUGCAAGUCGAGCGGUAAGGCCCUUUCGGGGGUACACGAGCGGCGAACGGGUGAGUAACACGUGGGUGACCUGCCCUCAGCUCUGGGAUAAGCCUGGGAAACCGGGUCUAAUACUGGAUAUGACUCCAUGACGCAUGUUGUGGGGUGGAAAGCCUUGUGCGGCUGAGGAUGGGCCCGCGGCCUAUCAGCUUGUUGGUGGGGUGANGGCCUACCAAGGCGACGACGGGUAGCCGGCCUGAGAGGGCGACCGGCCACACUGGGACUGAGACACGGCCCAGACCCCUACGGGAGGCAGCAGUGGGGAAUCUUGCGCAAUGGGCGAAAGCCUGACGCAGCGACGCCGCGUGAGGGAUGACGG
rnacentral:rRNA from 1 species